GCUUCCGUGGAUGAGCGGUGAUCACCUCAGCUUUGUGAAGGGGCAUUGCAUUUAUGAGGAGCCGUGGGUUCGAAUCCAACUGGAGGCA